CAGUAGCCGCGGGAAUACGUAGGUGGCAAGCGUUGUCCGGAAUUAUUGGGCGUAAAGGGCUCGCAGGCGGUUUCUUAAGUCUGAUGUGAAAGCCCCCGGCUCAACCGAGGAGGGUCAUUGGAAACUGGGAAACUUGAGUGCAGAAGAGGAGAGUGGAAUUCCACGUGUAGCGGUGAAACGCGUAGAGAUGUGGAGGAACACCAGUGGCGAAGGCGACUCUCUGGUCUGUAACUGACGCUGAGGGGCGAAAGCGUGGGGAGCGAACAGGAUUAGAUACCCCCGUAGUCCCUGUCUCUUAUAC
rnacentral:rRNA from 1 species